rnacentral:sRNA from 1 species
AGACAGGUCCCAGCCACAUUCUGGACGCCGUACCUUGCUAGACAGAUAGGGCACCUCCUGCUCCCACUUCCCCUGCAGAUUCCUGGUUCUGAAGACUCCUAGGGCAAGGAGUUUGCACUGUUAGGGGGAGAAAUGAAGACAACAAAAAGGGAAGAAAGCUGGACUUCUCAUUAGUGUUUUGAUCCGCGUCGUGAAGGCGUUCCGUAGCUCUCUCUAUGAAGGUUUAGAAAAGCCUGAAUCUCGAACCUCCAUCCAUAACUUCAUGGCUCAUCCUGAAUUCCGGAUCGAAGAUUCCCAGCCCCACAUCCCCCUCAUUGAUGACACCGACCUGGAAGAAGAUGCCGCGCUCAAGCAGAACUCGAGCCCCCCGUCAUCGCUCAACAAGAACAACAGCGCCAUCGACAGUGGGAUCAACCUGACGACCGACACAAGCAAAUCAGCUACCUCUUCAAGUCCAGGGAGCCCCAUCCACAGCCUGGAGACGUCGCUUUAGCUG